rnacentral:rRNA from 1 species
GGGCGUACGGAAGGUCUCUUGAAAUUAGAGGCUCGAAGUUGGAAAGUAAAGUAAUCGCCUUUUAGGAUAGGGCGGUGAAUCCUCCUCUUCUCCUUGCACAAACUGCUCGUCAGGGUCUGGGAAACCGAAUACCCGAAGUCUGUCCCUUUUAAAACUCAUUCUCCUACUUUUCUUUAGCGUUACUUCUUAGGUAAAACUCUGAAUCGCUCUGGAAACAUCCGAGGGACAUCCUGUGGAUGGAUGGGAGACCGCCGGAUAAAGAGGGUGAAACCUUAUUUUGAAGAGCGGAGAGCAUGGGUGACAGUCUAAGUUAUGAGGUUGACUGGAUUUAAGUCGAAACAAGGUUACGGUAAGGGAACUUGCCGUAGAA